GGAUAGUAUCCCAGCGAGGCAGAUGGGAUCCUGUGAAUAGGUUUUUCAGCCCCGUGGAUUCAGUCAUCCCAGAAAGCCAGCACUUUCUGGCUUUUUGGCUUACUGGAUGGCUGCUUGUCACAAUAUUGUCUUUUUUGCUUUCAACAAC
rfam:Otolemur garnettii clone CH256-154N14, complete sequence.